AGUCGAACGAUGAUGCCAGCUUGCUGGUGGAUUAGUGGCGAACGGGUGAGUAACACGUGAGUAACCUGCCCUUGACUCUGGGAUAAGCCUGGGAAACUGGGUCUAAUACCGGAUAUGACCUUCCAUCGCAUGGUGGUUGGUGGAAAGCUUUUGUGGUUUUGGAUGGACUCGCGGCCUAUCAGCUUGUUGGUGGGGUAAUGGUCUACCAAGGCGACGACGGGUAGCCGGCCUGAGAGGGUGACCGGCCACACUGGGACUGAGACACGGCCCAGACUCCUACGGGAGGCAGCAGUGGGGAAUAUUGCACAAUGGGCGCAAGCCUGAUGCAGCGACGCCGCGUGAGGGAUGACGGCCUUCGGGUUGUAAACCUCUUUCAGUAGGGAAGAAGCGUAAGUGACGGUACCUGCAGAAGAAGCGCCGGCUAACUACGUGCCAGCAGCCGCGGUAAUACGUAGGGCGCAAGCGUUAUCCGGAAUUAUUGGGCGUAAAGAGCUCGUAGGCGGUUUGUCGCGUCUGCCGUGAAAGUCCGGGGCUCAACUCCGGAUCUGCGGUGGGUACGGGCAGACUAGAGUGAUGUAGGGGAGACUGGAAUUCCUGGUGUAGCG
rnacentral:rRNA from 1 species